CCUACGGGUGGCAGCAGUGAGGAAUAUUGGUCAAUGGACGCAAGUCUGAACCAGCCAUGCCGCGUGCAGGAAGAAGGCUCUAUGAGUUGUAAACCGCUUUUGUACGAGGGAAAAUGCAGAUACGCGUCUCCGUCUGACAGUAUCGUACGAAGAAGGAUCGGCUAACUCCGUGCCAGCAGCCGCGGUAAUACGGAGGAUUCAAGCGUUAUCCGGAUUUAUUGGGUUUAAAGGGUGCGUAGGCGGUCGGUUAAGUUAGAGGUGAAAUCCCGAGGCUCAACUUCGGAAUUGCCUUUGAUACUGUUCGGCUAGAGUGUGGGUGAGGUAGGCGGAAUGUAUGGUGUAGCGGUGAAAUGCUUAGAGAUCAUACAGAACACCGAUUGCGAAGGCAGCUUACCAGGCUACUUCUGACGUUGAGGCACGAAAGCGUGGGGAGCAAACAGGAUUAGAUACCCUUGUAGUC
rnacentral:rRNA from 1 species